GAUGAACGCUAGCGGCAGGCUUAAUACAUGCAAGUCGAACGGUAAGGUCUCUUCGGAGAUACACGAGUGGCGCACGGGUGCGUAACGCGUAUGCAACCUACCUUUAACUGGGAAAUAGCCCCGAGAAAUCGGGAUUAAUGUCCCAUAUUAUUUUCUGAAAGCAUUUUCGGAAGAUGAAAGCUCCGGCGGUUAUUGAUGGGCAUGCGUGACAUUAGCUAGUUGGUGAGGUAACGGCUCACCAAGGCAACGAUGUCUAGGGGUCCUGAGAGGGUUAUCCCCCACACUGGUACUGAGACACGGACCAGACUCCUACGGGAGGCAGCAGUAAGGAAUAUUGGGCAAUGGACGCAAGUCUGACCCAGCCAUGCCGCGUGAAGGAUGAAUGUCCUAUGGAUUGUAAACUUCUUUUAUGCAGGAAAAAUAUCCCGGUCGUGAACCGGGACUGAUGGUACUGUAUGAAUAAGCAUCGGCUAACUCCGUGCCAGCAGCCGCGGUAACAC
rnacentral:rRNA from 1 species